rnacentral:rRNA from 1 species
AGUGAACGCUGGCGGUAGGCCUAACACAUGCAAGUCGAACGGCAGCACAGUAAGAGCUUGCUCUUACGGGUGGCGAGUGGCGGACGGGUGAGGAAUACAUCGGAAUCUACUUUUUCGUGGGGGAUAACGUAGGGAAACUUACGCUAAUACCGCAUACGACCUACGGGUGAAAGCAGGGGAUCUUCGGACCUUGCGCGUUUGAAUGAGCCGAUGUCGGAUUAGCUAGUUGGCGGGGUAAAGGCCCACCAAGGCGACGAUCCGUAGCUGGUCUGAGAGGAUGAUCAGCCACACUGGAACUGAGACACGGUCCAGACUCCUACGGGAGGCAGCAGUGGGGAAUGUUGGACAAUGGGCGCAAGCCUGAUCCAGCCAUACCGCGUGGGUGAAGAAGGCCUUCGGGUUGUAAAGCCCUUUUGUUGGGAAAGAAAAGCAGCAGGUUAAUACCCCGCUGUUCUGACGGUACCCAAAGAAUAAGCACCGGCUAACUUCGUG